UGCGCAGGUGGUUUUGUAAGCGUGUGGUGAAAGACCGAAGCUCAACUUCGGUUAGCCUCGCGAACUGCAAGACUUGAGUGCAGGAGAGGAAAGUGGAAUUCCUAGUGUAGCGGUGAAAUGCGUAGAUAUUAGGAGGAACACCAGUGGCGAAGGCGACUUUCUGGACUGUAACUGACACUAAGGUACGAAAGCGUGGGUAGCAAACAGGAUUAGAUACCCUGGUAGUCC
rnacentral:rRNA from 1 species